ensembl:lncRNA
GAAGAUAAAUAAAUAAAUAAAUAAAUAAAUAAAUAAAUACAGGAAGGGGGCGAGUUGCAGAUUGUAUUAUUUUAAAGGACUGGUAGUGUAAUACGGCUUUCACCAGCUAGGUGGCCGGCAGAACAUUCAUUGUAGAUACUGGCCUGUGGAGAUAUAUAUAUAUACAAAUUAUAAGGGAUAUAGCAAUAGGAUUAAAAUAAGAACAAAUAAAUACACAUAACUACAUAAGUGAAAUACACGAACAAAGAGCCGGAGCGGUGAAGUAUAAUUACAGGAUGCCGCCCAAAAAGGGAGGCGGUAAGAGGGAAGGAACCGAACCGGUGAGGCCACGGGGGGGAAUGCAGCAGUCACCCGUGCAAUCAUCCUCUGAUGAGGAAUCUUGGGCUAUGUUAAGGGAGUUGCAUGCUAAGGUGGCAAGCAUGGAGGCAAAGAGAUUUGAGAAACGGGCUCCCAGUGGUGAUGAGGUUACACCUCGCCGGUCUGCCAGGGAAUCAAAGGGAAAACAGAGGGCUGAAUUGAAGGCUCUUACGUGUGAACUAACCAGGUGUUUUGAUGUGAUCGAGUCGGAGCAGGGCCUGGAGCUUGGAGCCCACGACGGAGAUGAAGGCACAUCGAAGGGGCGCUUGGAAGAAAGGGGGCGUAAGCGGAGACGGACAGGCGCGGCGAGCAAUGAAGAGGCUGAGGAAGGAACGUCCUAUGGGUAUGAUCCCUAUGAAGACCCAGCUACAUACACACCAGGGGCUGCUGACACUGCAAGGAAGGAUAGAAGGGGUGAGUAUGAUGGAAUGCACAACACAGCAGCACAGGGGGUAUACUGGCCGUGGAUGGAGGGCCAACAACAACCUGUAGGAUCUCCUAACAUGGGGAUGCCUCCCAUGUCAUGGCCUGGGGGUUUCUGGCCACAGGUAGCCCCACAAUGGUGGGGGUGGAGUAUGCCCUCUACAACGCCAGAUAAAACUGGGCCUACAAAAGAAGGUAGGGAGUCAAACAUUGCCCAGCAUCCUUCCGUGCCCAAUACGGGCUAUAACUCCGCCCCAUUUUUAGCCACGCCUUACACAGACUACAGCUCGCCCCUAGGAGAUCAUUUGACGCCAGCAAUUAAGGAACGAAUUUGGAAAGGCGAUUAUAUUGACUUCUAUGAACUCCUGAAUAGGGAAUAUGAAGUGAAGGAGCUGGACAAGGAUGAUGAAAAGAUUAAAGAAAAACACAGGAGGAAGAGACCGGAUAGGAAUUGGAAUAAUUGGGUGACUGGUUUCACCAUUUAUGCCGGGGUGUUGGUAAAGAUGCAACCCUGGAAGGCGUCGGCCCUUUUUCAAUAUUAUGAUAUAAUGCGUAGAGCGAAGGGUGAAUUUGAGGGUCAGGCGUGGUUGCGGUAUGAUGAGGCGUUCCGAAUGAGGAGUGCUAUCAGGCCGGAACUGCGCUGGGAUGAGGUGCACCCUGGGCUUUGGCUACAACAUAUGUCGCCUGCUAAAACGAAUCUGGGCGACAGAUUCGAUUGUGGGCACCUUAAUAUUAAGUUCCCAGGGAAUACUGGUACCCGCCCGGGGGCGGGGCAGAUGGUUCAACCCCGGCUGCCUUGCUAUGAGUUCAACAAUAGGGGGUCCUGCAACAAGUCCCCUUGUAGGUUUAAGCACGAAUGCAUUACUUGUGGGGGCAAACAUCCGAGGUCCAAUUGCUUCCGGGCAGCAGGACAGCGUCAGGGCAAGCAAGGUGGUUCCGGUAGGAAGCCNNNNNNNNNNNNNNNNNNNNNNNNNNNNNNNNNNNNNNNNNNNNNNNNNNNNNNNNNNN